rnacentral:sRNA from 1 species
AGCAGCCGCGGUAAUUCCAGCUCCAAUAGCGUAUAUUAAAGUUGUUGCAGUUAAAAAGCUCGUAGUUGAAUUUCGGGAUCAAUUGAUUGGUCAUGCCUACGGUAUGUACUAGUCAUAUUGGUUCUCACCUUCUAAUGAACCUUAAUGUCAUUCACUUGAUGUUUUGGGGAAUUAGGACUGUUACCUUGAAAAAAUUAGAGUGUUUAAAGCAGGCUUACGCUUGAAUACAUUAGCAUGGAAUAAUGAAAUAGGACAUCGCAUUCUAUUUUGUUGGUUUCUAGGAUCGAUGUAAUGAUUAAUAGGGAUAGUUGGGGGCAUUAGUAUUCAAUUGUCAGAGGUGAAAUUCUUGGAUUUAUUGAAGACUAACUACUGCGAAAGCAUUUGCCAAGGAUGUUUUCAUUAAUCAAGAACGAAAGUUAGGGGAUCGAAGACGAUCAGAUACCGUCGUAGUCUUAACCAUAAACUAUGCCGACUAG